UGCACCUGUGGAGGGCGAAGCAUAUCCUUUGGUAAAGACCGGAUGAUUUUGCAGGUAAUCGGGGUAUGUUCAGUCUUGUGAAUACAAGCACGCUUUGUAUUCUUCAAAGUUUUUC
rnacentral:sRNA from 1 species